rnacentral:rRNA from 1 species
GACGAACGCUGGCGGCGUGCUUAACACAUGCAAGUCGAACGGUGAAGCUCCAGCUUGCUGGAGUUGAUCAGGGGCGAACGGGUGAGUAACACGUGUGCAACCUGCCCCUGUCUGUGGUAUAAGCGCUGGAAACGGCGUCUAAUACUGGAGAUGAUAAGUUUCCGCAUGUACACUUUCUGUAAAGUUUUUCGGUUGUGGAUGGGCUCGCGGCCUAUCAGCUUGUUGGUGAGGUAAUGGCUCACCAAGCGGACGAGGGGUAGCCGGCCUGAGAGGGCGACCGGCAAAACUGGGCCUGAGACACGCCCCAGACUCCUACGGGAGGCAGCGGUGGGGAAUAUUGCAGAAUGGGGGAAAGCCUGUUGCGGGGACGCGGGGUGAGGGAUGCCGGCCUUCGGGUUGUAACCCUCUUUGAGAAGGGAAGAAGCGAUAGUGACGGUACCUGCAGAAGAAGCACCGGCUAACUACGUG